rnacentral:lncRNA from 1 species
AGAGCUUCAAAUAAACCCUACCACACCACACACUGAAACAGAUGACCGUCGAGCAAAUAAGUGGUAAGUGGACGCCACGCGCCAGUCUCGCCCGGCCCGGCGACCAUAUCCACACAAAUUGAUUUUUUCCUCUCGAAGAAGAUGGCGUAGGAGGUAUAUAAUAAAGGUGAAGUUGGGUCUUUUUCGAUAUCCAUUCUUUGAUUGCUUAUGAUGAUAUGAUAUGAUGAUAUACAAACUGGGGAUCCGACAAGUCAAAUGCAAACUUCUGAGAAAUCACUGGGAUGGAUGGAGUAUUAUCCCUAAUCCCAUCACUGGGAUGGCCUGCCUCACUAGUCAAUUAGUGUACGUAACAUGCAUGCCUCCUCCAGCUUCCAGUAAGUAUAUUUUUGUUUUUGAACCAAAUAACAUCACUAGUGCUCAAUAGUCAAUUACUUUUAAAUCUUGAAAUCCGUAUUUAUGUCUGCAUUCCAAAGGAAAAGGUUGAUAAAAUAGUUAUCAGAUCAGAGCGGAAGUCAGUAUUAGUAGUUUUGACAGAAUUCUUGUUUCCAAACACAUGAAUAUUCAUUACAUGUAUUAAAAUUCAUGCCAAUAGUUAGGAUCUGAAAAAUCUAUAUAAAUUGAACUAUGUGCAAAUGUUGCAAUUUUUGGAGUCAUAAGAAAGUGAGCAUCAACAAGUAAGCUGCUCAUAUAAAUUCUAGCUUUCAAACAGGUACAUCCCAUAAAAUUCUUAGACUAUAAGUAUGGAAUCAAGAUUUUCUUUAAUGAAGCAAGUUCUAGAAAAUUGGUCGAAACUAUUGGUCUAUACUUUGCCUUUUGGUGGAGAUGUCUUUUCCUUUUUUUACUCCAGUAUUUCCUCCUUUUUUCGUUUACAAACUUAGAUUGUUCUUCGCGAUGCUAAUUUCUGAAUAUUUAUCAAUGAAUUAAGAUACACAAUUUGUAGGAAUGAAGAUUGUCAUCUCAAAGUUCUUGUGGUACAUCUAUCCAAAAAUCCAAUUGAGCUCUCAUAAUUUCAGAUGAAACCUUUCUGAUUAUGAAGCAUUUAUGGCCGUCUGUAUUUGUUCCAAAGUUCUCCCUUUUGUUUCUGGCACAACGAUGAUCACAAAUACAAUGGCGAGUAGAUUUAUCACAGCAUAAAGAAUAUAAGUUCCUGAAAUUUCAUAAAAACGAAAGUGUAAGUUUUAGAAUCAAUCAAAUUUCCUGACAUUGAUAACAAAGAUUCUAACAGAGAAAAGGCAAUUUGAGACUUGGUCAGUCUCUCUCUCUCUCUCACACACGCGCGCGCGCGCAUUUUGUUUAAUAGUUUCAGUGUGUCAAAGAAGUUGAUAAUUUCUUCUUAAAGUACCAUACUUCGCAUUUACCUAAACUGAGAUUUCACCUUCAUAUUAUGCUUCAUUUAGGAUUUUUUUAGCCUGAGAUGGUCACUUGCAUAUAUUAUGUUUUGUUUAGAAUCUUAGAAUCUUUCAGUUCCUUCCGCAGUUGAUGCACAAACUAGUGUUCCCUUUGGUUAAAAAAAAAACUGGAAUAUGUUACAUAUAUUUACCGUAAGAGCUCCAGCUAAUGAGAAAAUUGAAGGUGUAGGAUACUGCCCAUGCACCGAACCAAUUCACUAGUGUUGCUAGGCUUCCACCAGCUCCUUUGAUAUUUAUAGGAAAUAUCUACAAGAGAAUGGAAAUUCUCAGAUUUGUGGCAUGAGAAACUUUAGAAGGAAUUUAUUAACUUCGUAUAUUUUACUUACCUCAGACAUUACAACCCAUGGAACUGCUCCCAUUCCUACUGAAAAAGAUCCUAUGUACACCUGGGAUCAUCAAACAAAACAAUGGUGACAAGUUGAAACUUGAAAGUCACAGUUCAAAAGUCAUUGAAAGUUAUUUGGGAAAGAAAUUGAUUUUAGUGGAAUAUUAAGGUUUUACUUAUAAAGAAAAAGGAUACUAUGGUUUCACAAAGUUGGUAAUAUUACCAGUAUUCCAGUUACAGCAAAAGCAGGUGCUGCCUUGAGUCCUAUUUCAUAAGUCUGGUUCAUAAUAAAAAAUUUACACAUUAAAUCGAAGAAAAGAAGACGGAUACCAGAUCUAUGGAUGAUUAGUAUGGUUAUUACCUUUAGAUAGAAUGAUAUCGCUGUUAUUAUACAGCCUAUGACCAAGCCUGAUGCAGAAACCUAGAAGAUAAUAUUCAUAAUCUUAUAUCAAAGAAGAAUUUCUAUGCCAAAUGUUUGAAGGUAAAAGUGUUCAAUACGAGGUUGUACCAGUAAAAGGGGUUUUCUUCCAGCUCUGUCUACUAUGAAUGCACCUAGUGCAGUAAUAACAACCUGCAAUAACAAUAUCAAAUCAAGGAUAGACUCAUUGCAACCAAUUCUAUUUAGAAAAAUAUUUUGAGACUCAUGGAAUGAUGGAGUUCCGCAUACCUGAAUACAUGCAUAAAUUAUGGUACCAAGAUCUGAAGGAAAUCCUGAGAUAUUACAGAUCAUAGUGUUAAUUUUAAUGCUCAAACUCAGAUUUUGAUGUCUAACAUGCGGGGGUGUGUGUUUUGGGAGGGGAUGGGGUGAAGUUAUGAGGAACUCUUAAAACUCUUAUUUGAAGAAGUUAUAUGUCAACCAGUUGAAAAUUGAGAUUGCAAAUCCCAGAUUUUAAAUUGUCCUGGUCAGGAGCAUAUAUGAAAUUUCUCUACCUGCUGACUCGAAAGUACUGCUGACAUAGAAGCAGAUUCCAUUGAUUCCCCCAAAUUGUUGAAAAACCAUCAGUCCAACUCCUAUCUGGUCAUCAAAUGUCGUCAGUAAGAACUGUUAGACUAGACAGAAAAUUAUGAUAGGCAAAUACCAGAUUUCAUAGAUAAAACUAAACUGGUAAGAAGCAAGGAAAAAUAUAGUAGUAAUAUGCAAGACUUGAGAAAGACUUUACAAUGACUGAGCGCAAAUAUCUUUUCUGAAACAAAUCCAGCAGCUUAGCUUUUGGGAGCUUUUCAAGAGUUUCUAUAUAAUCCUGUCAAGCAAUGGCAUAAUCCUACAUGUUAUCUUUAAAAUCAUCUCAAACCUUGACAAUGAAGUCAGAGUUUAGAGUUCAAAAUUAGUACUUUAAUUUCAGCUGCCUCCUCAGAUAUAUCGAUAUCUUUCCCACGAAGUCUUUGUAGCGCAACUUCAAAUUCUUUUUGAUUUCCUGUCUUUGCCUGCAUGCAUGUGAAUGUUAGUUGCCAAAUGUUCUUUUCUUUUUGGUUUUACUAGCUGAGUGUGCAACAUACUCCCUCAUGCCUUGUAUUUCUUACCAGCCAUCUGGGAGACUCUGGAAUGAUAC